rnacentral:rRNA from 1 species
UUAAUUUGACUCAACACGGGAAAACUCACCCGGUCCGGACACCGCAAGGAUUGACAGAUUGAUAGCUCUUUCUUGAUUCGGUGGGUGGUGGUGCAUGGCCGUUCUUAGUUGGUGGAGCGAUCUGUCUGGUUAAUUCCGAUAACGAACGAGACUCUAGCCUAUUAAAUAGUUCGACGAUCUUACCCUCGUCUCCGAAUAAGAGCGGGGGACUACACGGUCGGAGUAACUUCUUAGAGGGACAAGUGGCGUAUAGCCACGCGAGAUUGAGCAAUAACAGGUCUGUGAUGCCCUUAGAUGUCCGGGGCCGCACGCGCGCUACACUGAAGGAAUCAGCGUGGACUCUGCCCUGCUCCGAGAGGAGUGGGAAACCCGUUGAAUCUCCUUCGUGAUGGGGACUGGGGCUUGUAAUUGUUCCCCACGAACGAGGAAUUCCCAGUAAGCGCGAGUCAUAAGCUCGCGUUGAUUACGUCCCUGCCCUUUGUACACACCGCCCGUCGCUACUACCGAUCGAACGGUUUAGUGAGAUCUUCGGAUUGGUCCCUUCGAGGCGGGCAACCGCCCCGGCGAGGGGCCGAGAAGAUGAUCAAACUUGAUCGCUUAGA